rnacentral:rRNA from 1 species
AUUGAACUCUGGCGGCAGGCCUAACACAUGCAAGUCGAGCGAGCGGCGGACGUGUGAGUCAUGUCUGGGAAACUGCCUGAUGGAGGGGGAUAACUACUGGAAACGGUCGCUAAUACCGCAUACCAUCGGAUGUGCCCAGAUGGGAUUAGCUUGUUGGUGGGGUAACGGCUCACCAAGGCGACGAUCCCUAGCUGGUCUGAGAGGAUGACCAGCCAAACUGGAACUGAGACACGGUCCAGACUCCUACGGGAGGCAGCAGUGGGGAAUAGUGCACAAUGGGCGCAAGCCUGAUGCAGCCAUGCCGCGUGUAUGAAGAAGGCCUUCGGGUUGUAAAGUACUUUCAGCGGGGAGGCGGUACCCGCAGAAGAAGCACCGGCUAACUCCGGGCCAGCAGCCGCGGUAAUAC